rnacentral:rRNA from 1 species
UGCGUGACCAACCUGCCCAUGCUCCAGAAUAGCUCUUGGAAACGGGUGGUAAUGCUGGAUGCUCCAACUUGACGCAUGUCUUGUUGGGAAAGUGUUUAGUGGCAUGGGAUGGGGUCGCGUCCUAUCAGCUUGUAGGCGGGGUAAUGGCCCACCUAGGCUUCGACGGGUAGCCGGCCUGAGAGGGCGGACGGCCACAUUGGGACUGAGAUACGGCCCAGACUCCCACGGGAGGCAGCAGGUA